rnacentral:lncRNA from 1 species
UAAUAAGAUCAUUCUAAUUGUUAGAUAAAGUGUUCUAUCAGCCUUACACAUUAUAGAGUGUAACAAGAGGUUGAAGCCCUGCUAAAAUUCAGGCAAAAUCCACAGGAUGAAAACAAUAAAAAAAGAAUAUAAGAAUAUAAUACGUUUAAUAAGGAAAUGCAGUAGGUCUUAUGGUAAAUUUUAAUGGUAAAGUAUCUGCCCUAAGGAAUCAUAUGAUUGCUCAAAUCCUGGCUUCUCCCAUGUCCUGUAUAAUAGUUGUUUGUAUAAUGAUGUUGAGUUGAAUAUAAGCAAUUUCAUUGGUUGAGAGCCAUGAUGUAUAAGAGGACAGAUGCACAGAGUGACUAAUCAGAAAUGAAUUUGAUCAGUGAUUGCUUGUUUAUUUUGUUAGGCAAUCACAUUUUAGCACUUAUCUUAACACUUAUUUUAACACUUUAAAAAUUUUCCAGGUAUUGAGGAAACCAAAAAAGAACUGUUUACCUGUUAAUUUGGCAACUUUUUCGGCUCGCCCCAGCAGCUACUAUUUUGUGGUGCCCAACUAUUUUGUUCUUAUCACAAAUGAUGCCAUACCAUGUAUCUAUAACUCAAGCAACAAUGGUUCAACAUUAUCUAUUGGUUAAAUAAUACAUACAUAGUCACAGUAUGAUCUAAUAUAGCAUUUGUUUAUAAAACCCUGACUAAAUUUUCAUAAGAAAUUCGCAAAAGAAAUUCGUCCGGAAGAACCAAAUAUAUGAAUAAACAUACUCCCCCCCCCCAAUUCUCAUCGUUUUAGUCAUCCCUGCUAAAGGCCUAUCAAGACUCGAUCAAGAGUAUCUCUUUUAGCGUAAUUGUGUUAAUAAUGUAUUUCAAAACGUAAUUUUAGCGUAAUUGUGCUUGUUUAAUAAUGUAUUUGAAAACCUGAUCUCAUUUAGCACUUUUCCUGUAUUUCACAGCGUGUUACCUGAAUCCAGGAGUUCUCGCAGAGCAUCAUUCAAACAAAAGAAUUAUAUCAUCCUUUCAGAACAGGUGCAAAAGGCGAAAGCAGCUGUCACCGGUCAUAAAAUAGAUGGACCAGAAGUUGUCAUCUCUGCAGCACUAUAUCAUCCCGUGAAGACAUGAUUUACGUGACAAAAGAUAUUGUCCCGCGGAUUCUAUUGUCGUCAGGGAGCACAGCGAGAAUCCCGAUUUUCCAGGAAUCGCUACAGGCCAGGAUAUUUGCCCGUGUGCUUUUAUAUUCAUUGAGAGUGUUUUUUACAAUGACACAAGAAGCGAUUUAUGUCGAGAUUAUAGCAAGCAAACUCAUAAUGGAUUGGACUAACAAAAAACACAAUGGCGACCUCGAUACGGUGUUUGUUCAAGCAAGAAAUGGGAAGAGACAAAGUUUGAGGAUUUAACAAUUAAACUUGGCUAUCCCCAUUCAAUCAAUGCAAUUUAGGAAAAUAACGAUCAUUCCGACACCUCUCCUUGCGCGACACUUCAUGAUUGUCAAGAUGUAGUAAUGAUAGGGGAAAUUAACGAGCAAUCAGGCAACGCUCCUACAACAACACUCCACGGCUGUCAGGAUUUGGUAUUGUCCGUAUUGACAGGCAAAGUGAGAAUUUCAGUGCCAUCACUCUUUACAACAGUGCAACCUAAAAAUAGACAACCAUAAAUCAUUAAAUCAUA